GGGCGAAUGGUUUAGUGGUAUAAUACCUCUUUAGCAUAGAGGUGGUCCAGGGUUCGAGUAAGUUAUUCUGAAGAUUCGCCUU
rnacentral:tRNA from 1 species